AAGAUAAUUAUGUGACUGUGUGCUGUUCAGCUGUGUUGUUACACAUUUUCUAGCUUUUUUUAAUACCUUGAAAGGGCCUUAACUGUGUAUUCUAACCUGAAUGUUACAUUGCUCCAGCCUUUUGUAAUAGUUCCGUGCUUUGCUGUAUUGAUUAAGCUUCCACUUCCAGUCCUUCCUGGGGAGGAGUAAUUUCCCACCUACCUGUCGGAGUGGUCACUGUGCAUUCUGUGUAUGGCAAUUGAUUCAGUCCCUCUUCAACCACGAGUCUGAUCUGUGGAACCAGAAAAAAAACCCAGCUUGAAGGGAUUUGCUACCUAUGGAGCUAAGCAAAUGAAGAAGUCAAAGCCACAAAACAAAACAAAAAAACAGGAAGAAUGGCCCACACUUGAGCUCAGACUUUCACAAGCUGUGGAUGUUUCCUCUGCUGCUCCAACUUGUUCAACAGCACGAAGGACAUUAUGUCUAUUUAAACAGUGUCUGCUGAGAACUGCUGGCACAGAACGAAGCUGGGACUGGGACUUUCCGCCUGUUCCUUAUGAAGAACUAUUGGCAAAGAAGGACGCUGCCGUCGGUGACUUGAUGCAGCAGUUAUGUGGAUGAGUUUUGUUGGCUUGGGCCUCUACUGUUCCUGGAGAAUGGGAACGGCAGAAACAUCCUCAAGAAGGGAAAAGCAGAGGGGAAAGUGGGAAAAGCUGCAGGGAUAAAAUGCACCGCAGUCACAGCCUUCAGCUGUGGCCCUAGGUAAGCCCUGAGCAAGCUGAGAUCAGGCGUGGAUUAAGAUUGGGUUAAACCUGUCUGGUUUAGCAAAUAGUGCUGGUAACUGAACGCUCCCUGAACUGAUCUUUGUUAGAGGGGGAAAGAAAGGCUUUUCUCAUUAAUGAGUGUGCCUCUGCAAACAGGAAACACCCUCAUGAACACCGGUAUAGGUGUGGGAGUGGGUGCUGUAAGCACGUAAUUUAAAUGUGAUAAAUGGUGCAUUCCCAACAGUCUUUGUUCCAACUUAUUAAAAUACGUGAAAACUUCAAA